AGGUAUUUUCUGCUCGGUGAUUUUUAACAGCUGCGGUAAUUUGACCGUGCAAAGGUAGCAUAAUCAUUUGUCUUGUAAUUUAGGGCUGGAAUGAAUGGGAUUACAAAAGUUUAGCUUUUUUCUUAUAAUGAUAAUAAUUUGUUUUUUUUGUGAGGAAACAGGAAUUUAAUAGGAGGACAAGAAGACCCUUUUGAGCUUUACUUUGUUUUUGUUUUUUAUUAUAAGACUUAGUUUGAUUGGGGCGAUCUAGGAAGAGGUAUCUUCUUUUUUUUUGAUUAUGAUGAUCCANCAUUGUUGAUUUUAUGAUUAAGUUACCAAAGGGAUAACAGCGUGAUUCUUUUUGUGAGCACUUAUUAAAGAAAGAGAUUGCGACCUCGAUGUUGACUUAUUUUUUCCUUU
rnacentral:rRNA from 1 species